UCCCUAGUGGCCUAGUGGUUAAGGAUUCAGUGUUGUCAACGCUGUGGCUCGGGUUCAAUUCCUGGCCUGGAAA
rnacentral:tRNA from 1 species